GGGGGAUAUUGCGCAAUGGGGGCAACCCUGACGCAGCAACGCCGCGUGAAGGAUGAAGGUUUUCGGAUUGUAAACUUCUUUUAUUAAGGACGAAAAAUGACGGUACUUAAUGAAUAAGCUCCGGCUAACUACGUGCCAGCAGCCGCGGUAAUACGUAGGGAGCAAGCGUUGUCCGGAUUUACUGGGUGUAAAGGGUGCGUAGGCGGCUUUGCAAGUCAGAUGUGAAAUCUAUGGGCUCAACCCAUAAACUGCAUUUGAAACUGUAGAGCUUGAGUGAAGUAGAGGCAGGCGGAAUUCCCCGUGUAGCGGUGAAAUGCGUAGAGAUGGGGAGGAACACCAGUGGCGAAGGCGGCCUGCUGGGCUUUAACUGACGCUGAGGCACGAAAGCGUGGGUAGCAAACAGGAUUAGAUACCCUGGUAGUCCACGCUGUAAACGAUGAUUACUAGGUGUGGGGGGUCUGACCCCUUCCGUGCCGGAGUUAACACAAUAAGUAAUCCACCUGGGGAGUACGGCCGCAAGGUUGAAACUCAAAGGAAUUGACGGGGGCCCGCACAAGCAGUGGAGUAUGUGGUUUAAUUCGAAGCAACGCGAAGAACCUUACCAGGUCUUGACAUCCAACUAACGAAGUAGAGAUACAUUAGGUGCCCUUCGGGGAAAGUUGAGACAGGUGGUGCAUGGUUGUCGUCAGCUCGUGUCGUGAGAUGUUGGGUUAAGUCCCGCAACGAGCGCAACCCUUGCUAUUAGUUGCUACGCAAGAGCACUCUAAUAGGACUGCCGUUGACAAAACGGAGGAAGGUGGGGACGACGUCAAAUCAUCAUGCCCCUUAUGACCUGGGCUACACACGUACUACAAUGGAUGUUAACAGAGGGAAGCAAGACAGCGAUGUGGAGCAAACCCCUAAAAACAUUCUCAGUUCAGAUUGCAGGCUGCAACCCGCCUGCAUGAAGAUGGAAUUGCUAGUAAUCGCGGAUCAGCAUGCGGCGGUGAAUACGUUCCCG
rnacentral:rRNA from 2 species